AAAUUGAAGAGUUUGAUCAUGGCUCAGAUUGAACGCUGGCGGCAGGCCUAACACAUGCAAGUCGAACGGUAACAGGAAUCAGCUUGCUGAUUCGCUGACGAGUGGCGGACGGGUGAGUAAUGUCUGGGAAACUGCCUGAUGGAGGGGGAUAACUACUGGAAACGGUAGCUAAUACCG
rnacentral:rRNA from 1 species